UACGGAGGGUGCUAGCGUUGUUCGGAAUCACUGGGCGUAAAGGGCGUGUAGGCGGUCUGUUAAGUCUGAUGUGAAAUCCCCCUCGCUCAACGAGGGAACUGCGUCGGAUACUGGCAGACUCGAGUACCGGAGAGGAAGGUGGAAUUCCCGGUAUAGCGGUGAAAUGCGUAGAUAUCGGGAGGAACACCGGUGGCGAAGGCGGCCUUCUGGACGGGAUACUGACGCUGAGACGCGAAAGCGUGGGGAGCAAACAGG
rnacentral:rRNA from 1 species